GUAGGAGGCUAGCGUUGUUCGGAUUUACUGGGCGUAAAGGGCGUGUAGGCGGCUUGGAAAGUCCCUUGUGAAAUCUCCCGGCUCAACCGGGAGCGGUCGAGGGAUACUUCCAGGCUAGAGGGCAGUAGAGGAGAGCGGAAUUCCCGGUGUAGCGGUGAAAUGCGUAGAUAUCAGGAGGAACACCCAUGGCGAAGGCAGGUUCCUGGCCAUAUCCUGACGCUGAGGUGCGAAAGCUAGGGGAGCGAACGGGAUUAGAUACCCCGGUAGUCCUAGCCGUAAACGAUGGAUACUAGGUGUUAGAGGUAUCGACCCCUCUAGUGCCGCAAGCUAACGCGUUAAGUAUCCCGCCUGGGGAGUACGACCGCAAGGUUG
rnacentral:rRNA from 1 species